rnacentral:rRNA from 1 species
AGAGUUUGAUCAUGGCUCAGAACGUACGCUGGCGGCACGCCUAACACAUGCAAGUCGAACGAAGUAGCAAUACUUAGUGGCAGACGGGUGAGUAACAUGUAGGUAUCUGCCCUUUGGCCUGGAAUAACACGAGGAAACUUGUGCUAAUACCGGAUAAGUCUUUACGGAGAAAGCUUUAUGCACCAUUGGAUGAGCCUGCACUUGAUUAGUUUGUUGGUGGGGUAAUGGCCUACCAAGACUGUGAUCAAUAGCUGAUUUGAGAGGAUGAUCAGCCACAUUGGGACUGAGACACGGCCCAAACUCCUACGGGAGGCAGCAGUGGGGAAUCUUGCACAAUGGAGGAAACUCUGAUGCAGCGAUGCCGCGUGAGUGAAGAAGGCCCUUGGGUUGUAAAGCUCUUUCGUCGGGGAAGAAAAUGACUGUACCCGAAUAAGAAGGUCCGGCUAACUUCGUGCCAGCAGCCGCGGUAAUACGAAGGGCCCUAGCGUAGUUCGGAAUUACUGGGCUUAAAGAGUUCGUAGGUGGUUGAAAAAGUUAGUGGUGAAAUCCCAGAGCUUAACUCUGGAACUGCCAUUAAAACUUUUCAGCUAGAGUAUGAUAGAGGAAAGCAGAAUUUCUAGUGUAGAGGUGAAAUUCGUAGAUAUUAGAAAGAAUACCAAUUGCGAAGGCAGCUUUCUGGAUCAUUACUGACACUGAGGAACGAAAGCAUGGGUAGCGAAGAGGAUUAGAUACCCUCGUAGUCCAUGCCGUAAACGAUGUGUGUUAGACGUUGGAAAUUUAUUUUCAGUGUCGCAGGGAAACCGAUAAACACACCGCCUGGGGAGUACGACCGCAAGGUUAAAACUCAAAUGAAUUGACGGGGACCCGCACAAGUAGUGGAGCAUGUGGUUUAAUUCGAAGAUACGCGCAGAACCUUACCAACACUUGACAUGUUCGUCGCGACUCUAAGAGAUUAGAGUUUUCGGUUCGGCCGGACGAAACACAGGUGCUGCAUGGCUGUCGUCAGCUCGUGUCGUGAGAUGUUGGGUUAAGUCCCGCAACGAGCGCAACCCUCACUUUUAGUUGCCAUCAUUAAGUUGGGCACUCUGAAAGAACUGCCAGUGAUAAGCUGGAGGAAGGUGGGGAUGACGUCAAGUCCUCAUGGCCCUUACGUGUUGGGCUACACACGUGCUACAAUGGUAUCUACAACAGGAAGCAAGACUGCGAAGUUAAGCAAAUCCCUAAAAGAUACCUCAGUUCGGAUUGCACUCUGCAACUCGAGUGCAUGAAGCUGGAAUUACUAGUAAUCGUGGAUCAGCGUGCCACGGUGAAUGCGUUCCCGGGUCUUGUACACACCGCCCGUCACACCAUGGGAGUUGGUUCUACCUUAAGGCAAGGUUUCAAACCCUUGACCACGGUAUAGUCAGCGACUGGGGUGAAGUCGUAACAAGGUA